UUCAGAAAAAAUGGCAGGCAGAAACCAAGCUGAAAAAAAUCAAAUCAAGGACCUAAAGUGUGCAACCCAUCUGUUGAGUGAGAAAUUCAGAAAUAUGAGCGAGGAGAAGUGAUGCAAUAAGACUGUCCAGGCCAUCCUCAUUGUUAUUGAAUCCAUUUUGUCAGAUAGAUUCUAAUGAUAUUGUCACUGAUUAAUGUAACUGUUAUAUACUCUUGUAAGAAAUUGAACACAUGGUGUAAAUAUAUUUGAUCCAAUUAUAAGUAAAUUUUUUUUCCAUAAUUAAACUC